rnacentral:misc_RNA from 1 species
UGGCUUUGGCAUCGAUGAAGAACGUGGCGAACUGCGAUACGUAAUGUGAAUUGCAGAACCUAGUGAAUCAUUGAAUCUUUGAACGCACAUUGCGCCCUCUGGUAUUCCGGGGGGCAUGCCUGUCCGAGCGUCAUUACAACCCUCAAGCCUAGCUUGGUCUUGGGCCACGCCUGCCAACGGCGCGCCCCAAAGGUAAUGGCGGUGCCGUCCAGCGUCGAGCGCAGUAGAAAUUCUCGCUAUGGUGCCUGGGCGACGCCUGUCGUCAACUACACAUCUCAAGGUUGACCUCGGAUCAGGUAGGGUUACCCGCUGA